GAUGAACGCUGGCGGCGUGCCUAAUACAUGCAAGUCGAGCGAACAGGCGAGGAGCUUGCUCCUCUGACGUUAGCGGCGGACGGGUGAGUAACACGUGGAUAACCUACCUAUAAGACUGGGAUAACUUCGGGAAACCGGAGCUAAUACCGGAUAAUAUAUUGAACCGCAAGGUUCAAUAGUGAAAGACGGCUUUGCUGUCACCUAUAGAGGGAUCCGCGCCGCAUUAUCUACUUGGUAAUGUAACCGGUUACCAAAGCUACGAUGCGUAGCACACCAUAGAGGGUGAUCAGUCGCACUGCAACUGAGACACGGUCCCGACAACUACAGGUGACCUCAGUAUGAAUUCUUCCCCGAUGAGCGAAAACCUGGCGGAGCAGCGCCGCGUGCGGGAUGGAAAUCUUCGGAUCGUAAAGCUCUGUUACUAGGGAAGACCAAAUGUGUAAGUAACUAUGCGCGUCUUACCGGUACCUUAACAGACACCCACGUCUAACGACGUC
rnacentral:rRNA from 1 species